CACACACACACACACACGCACUGAGGCACAUGGCCACACACAAGCUGUGUGUUUUGUAUGGUAAUUCAAAACUGCGCAUUCAUUGAUGACGGAUGACGUCGCAGCUUUGACAGUGGCAUUGAAAAUUUUAAUUUCGCAAGCAGACUGCAAGCAACAACAAUAAUAAUAAAUACAGAAGGAACCAGAAUAAUAAGGCGCUCUGUUACUAUAUACCUACUAAAUAGCAAAAACAAAAGGAACAGCACGGGAUAGAUUUUAUUAAAUACCCAUUAAGUGAAAGUAAACAAAGAGAAUAGCCUGAUGAGUUGUCAGCUAAAAGAGAAUUCAUCUUUCCUAGAAAACAGGAAAUCUGUAUCUUCUCUGAAUGAACAAAUAUUCGAGUGAUUUUGUGUGGUUGAAUAAAUAUGUAUAUUGAAUAAAUAGCGCAAAUAAUAAACAAGUUUAAGCGCCUUUUACUGGACUUACAGAUGCAUGAGACGAAGUCUGGCUAUUUUCGCCAGGGUUUUCCCCAGUUCCGUUCUGCUUUCUGUAUUUGUUUUGCUGCACUGAUUAGGGAGUAAAUAAUAAUAAUGAUAAUAAUAACCCAA